rnacentral:pre_miRNA from 1 species
CUACCCUGUGGAUCCGGGCUUUUGUAGAAUUUAGCCAUCAGAAGCUCGUCUCUACAGGUAUCU